rnacentral:rRNA from 1 species
AAUCAACGCUGGCGGCGUGCCUCAGACAUGCAAGUCGAACGCGAAAGGUUCCUUCGGGAACCGAGUAGAGUGGCGCACGGGUGAGUAACACGUAGGUAAUUUGCCUUUGGGUGGGGAAUAACUCAGGGAAACUUGAGCUAAUACCGCAUAAUGCAGCGGCUCGACAUCGAGACAGUUGUUAAAGCGGGGGAUCGCAAGACCUCGCGCCUAAAGAGAAGCCUGCGGCAGAUUAGCUAGUUGGUAAGGUAAUGGCUUACCAAGGCGACGAUCUGUAACCGGCCUGAGAGGGCGGUCGGUCACACUGACACUGACAUACGGGUCAGACUCCUACGGGAGGCAGCAGUCGGGAAUUUUGGGCAAUGGGCGAAAGCCUGACCCAGCAACGCCGCGUGAAGGAUGAAAUUUUCGGAAUGUAAACUUCGCAAGAACAGAAGAAUAAGUA